GACCUGCGCCUGCCGGCCACCAUUCAGUACAGCUGUAGCCCAUCACAUCCCCAACCUACUGCUCCCGGAGCCGGUCAUUUGAGUAUGGAGAGACGACGGCUUGAGAUGAACUCAAGAACUUGCUCUUUGAAAGCGGCAAUGUCAAGAAAUUGAAGGCACUAUUUGGCUCACCCAUGAGAAGCGCAAAAUAUAAUACAUGGAGGUAUUAGGCU